AUAAUUUAAUGACCUAAGGAAGUCACAAAAAUUAUGUUAAAAUCUGUAACAUAUAUUUAUUUAUAAUUAAAAAAAAAAUUCUAAAAAAUAUGUAUAUAAGAAAUAUUUAUUUAAAAUGUAAUUAAAUCUAAAUUCUCUCAUAUGUUAGCCAAUCGUUAUUAUGGAUUAAUCCAAACAUAACAUCUACAGUUCUACCUGAAGGAAUAUAAAUUUAUACCAAUGAGAUAUAUCUGAUUAUAAAUUGAUGGUGGAGAAAGCUAUUAACUGCCCAACAGACCCUCAUAUUUGUCAUGGGGAAGAGCUAAUUGAACGAUUAUGUUUCUGGCUGUCGCUGGAUAUGGAUCUAGCAAUAAAUGGGAUGAGGCCCCUUCCCCGUCAAAAUCUCAAGAAUACAAAGAUUCCUAUCGAUAAAGUACCAUGGAUGAGUCAUCUAGGAUAUAGAUUGGCGACGCAUGGGUCAAUCAAACUCUAUUUAGACCUCUGUUAGCCUCCACAUAAGGAAUCACUCAUCCUUCUAGAAUCCAUGGUUCGAUUAUAAUGUGAUUAGUACUCCCUCCAUUUCAUAUUCUCAAGCUUACCUCUCCACUACUCAUUAGAAACCUAUAUUUUCGCCCAUUAACCUAGCAAUAAUAAUCAAAACAACGACAUAAACAGCAUGACAGAACGAAAACAGCAUUUCUCCUAUUUAAUAUAUUACAUGCAAUCACUUAGAACAUUUACUUAUUGACGUUAUCUUACCUUUUCACGUUAUAACUAUAUUUUGUUUAUUUAAUACAUCCAAAAUUAUUAGAUUCCUUUGUAGACAGUUUUGGUAAGCCGCAGGGUGCUUGAAGCCAUAAAGACCUAGAGGCCAACUAAAAUCUACACAUUCCAUAUAAAAGGCAUCAUACAGUAUAUUUCGGGAUCAAAAAGUAAAUUGUGUUAUGCCUACAUAAGAGAGACAGGUUCUUAUCAAGUGUUUAGAUCACCAUUUUUGCGUUCAAGAGUCGUGCAAAUCCCAUUUAUCGAAACAUGUAAUUCAAAUAAAUGUACUUCCCUUUCGCUUAUCGAUAUCCAAACUCGAGAUGUUUGAACCACUGCACAUUACCAGCAAAGUUAUUCAAAGGGGUCUGUUUCAAUAAAAAAAUAAAAUAAUGCAAACACCAUUCUUAUCAACAAACACGAAAUUUUCCGAGUUUAAAUAUAAAUUAGAAUUUAAAAUUCUUUCAUAAUCACGUUUAUAUUAUAAUAAUUGUUGUAUUUUUAAUUGCCAAACAAAUGAAAUGAAUAUGAAAUAUUUUAGAAACCUUAUAUUUUAAUAAUUUAUCAUUUGAAAAUCAAGACACAUAUCCCUCAUUGUAACAGCGAUUUUAAAAUGCUGCA